GCAAAGCACUUUCUAGAACCUAUGUAUAACCUAAUAUCCGCAGGGAUAUAAUUAAUACGCAGUGUUGUGGCAUGCCAUAUUCAAUGCGGUAGGGGGAUCAGAGAAGGCUCCUGUAGAAAUCUGGUCGAAAAUAAAUUUAUUGGCAGCUUCAGUGUAGUGACCUCCAUCCCAAUUUACUCGAACUGAAGGGCGAUCACUACCAUCGUCUUCUGUAACUGUAUCUCCACAUCCAAUAGUACUACUGUAAUUGUACUUUCC
rnacentral:misc_RNA from 1 species